rnacentral:rRNA from 1 species
AUUGCAGGCUGCAACUCGCCUGUAUGAAGUUGGAAUUGCUAGUAAUCGCGGAUCAGCAUGCCGCGGUGAAUACGUUCCCGGGCCUUGUACACACCGCCCGUCACACCAUGAGAGCCGGUAAUACCCGAAGUCAGUAUCCUAACCGCAAGGAGGGAGCCGUCGAAGGCAGGUCUGAUAACUGGGGUGAAGUCGUAACAAGGUAAC